UAUUGCACAAUGGGGGAAACCCUGAUGCAGCGACACCGCGUGGGUGAGGAAGCGCUUCGGCGUGUAAAGCCCUAUCAGUGGGGAAGAAAAAGGACGGUCCCCAAAGAAGAAGCACCGGCGAAAUACGUGCAAGCCGCCGCGGUAAUACGUAUGGUGCAAGCGUUAUCCGGAAUGACUGGGUGUAAAGGGAGCGUAGACGGUUGUACAAGUCUGAUGUGAAAGCCCACGGCUCAACUGUGGGAGUGCAUUGGAAACUGUAGAACUAGAGUAUCGGAGAGGCAAGUGGAAUUCCUAGUGUAGCGGUGAAAUGCGUAGAUAUUAGGAGGAACACCAGUGGCGAAGGCGGCUUGCUGGACGAAAACUGACGUUGAGGCUCGAAAGCGUGGGGAGCAAACAGG
rnacentral:rRNA from 1 species